rnacentral:rRNA from 1 species
UACGUAGGUGGCGAGCGUUGUCCGGAUUUACUGGGCGUAAAGGGAGCGUAGGCGGACUUUUAAGCGAGAUGUGAAAUACCCGGGCUCAACUUGGGUGCUGCAUUUCAAACUGGAAGUCUAGAGUGCAGGAGAGGAGAAUGGAAUUCCUAGUGUAGCGGUGAAAUGCGUAGAGAUUAGGAAGAACACCAGUGGCGAAGGCGAUUCUCUGGACUGUAACUGACGCUGAGGCACGAAAGCGUGGGGAGCAAACAGGAUUAGAUACCCU